CCUGAGGAGAGCGAUGGGAAGCGAACCCAGAUCCUGUGAAAGAGCAGCGAGUGUUCUUAACCGCAGAACAGACCCCAGACUCAGUGCUUGAACCUUCAGAGGGCAGAAGGGAAUGUUUUUUGGCUCUUACAAAGGUUAGAAAGACUCUGUCCCUGCCAAGGCCACACCAGAAAUACAGUGUCCAGCAGAGGUGGGGCUGUAGAGGACCGUCUGCGCUUCACCGUGCCUCCUGCGUCACAAGAGCAAAGCCCAUCUAUCUAUACAGGAGGAAAAAGUCCUUUUUCGAUUGCUGCUGCUGCUUUCUGAUUAAAGAACGACACAGGAGACGUUUCAGGAUGUUAGAAAAGCCUCAAGGAAGAGGGAAACCUGUUUGAGCAGUUUUACGGGAACUGCAGGGUUUCCGUGGCAAGUCAAGGGACUGAGGCUGCAACCCCGCUUAGAGCUUGUUUCCUGCCUCCUUCUUUGGUGCCUUGGGGCUCUGGAUACAGGGUUCUGGGUGCCUGGAAGUCCUGGGCUUCUGAAGGAACCCAACAAGAGGUGAGACCAACCAGGGACAAAAGUGGGGAUCGAAUCUAGGGCAGUGGUUAAGUUUUGCACUGCUGUGACCCUUUAAUAUAGUUCCUCAUAUUGUUGUCACCGCCCUCAACUACAGAAUUAUUUUUUUUCUUUUUCUUUUUUCUUUUUUUUUCGGAGCUGGGGACCGAACCCAGGGCCUUGCGCUUGUUAGGCAAGCGCUCUACCACUGAGCUAAAUCCCCAACCAGAAUUAUUUUUUUUUAAGAUUUAUUUAUUUAUUACUUAUAAGUACACUGUAGCUGUCUUCAGACACACCAGAAGAGAGCAUCAGAUCUCAAUAAAGAUGGUUGGGCUGGAGAGAUGGCUCAGCUGUUAAGAGCACCCGACUACUCUUCCAGAGGUCCUGAGUUCAAUUCCCAGCAACCACAUGGUGGCUCAUACUCAUAACCAUCUGUAAGGAGAUCCAAUGCCCUCUUCUGGUGUAUCUGAAGACAGCUACAGUGUACUUAUAUAUAAUAAAUGAAUAAAUCUUUAAAAAAAAAUAUGGUUGUGAGCCACCAUGUGGUCCCUGGGAUUUGAACUCAGGACCUCUGGAAGAGCAGUCAGUGCUCUUACCUUACCACUGAGCCAUCUCUCCAGCCCCGGAAUUAUUUUUGUUGCGAUUUCAUAGGUGUGAUUUGGCUGCAGCCAAAUGGAAAAUGUAUACACUUUGGAGACAGGAGUUUGCUGAAGGGGUCACGACCCAUAGAUUGAGAAGCUCUGAUCAGGGUCUGGGUUCCUGGGUUCCUGGUAGGCAAGCACCUCCAUUGUGCCACUAAAUUCCAUCGCCAGCUCUGAGAUGACUUUCAGGACAGAUCUUAUGUCUUUUUUUGUUUGUUUUGUUUUCUUCACUUGAAAGCAACAAAUGAUUUUUUUUUUUUUUUUGGUUCUUUUUUCAGAGCUGGGAACCGAACCCAGGGCCUUGCGCUUCCUAGAUAAGCGCUCUACCACUGAGCUAAAUCCCCAGCCCCAAAAAGCAACAAAUAAUUUAACAACACUUCUGUUUUCAUGAGCUUAGAGUAGAGGCGACCAACUAAGAGGUCAAUCUAACCUCUACAAUCUCUAAGGAAGUUCAUUGAGAUGGUUCAGGGUGCAAAGGCAUUUGAAUAGAAUCAACACCUGCAGAUUAAUUAUCUUCUGACUCCCACAUAAAUGCACACCCACACACACAUUCACAUGCACACACACACACACACACACACACCAUGACCAAAAAAAAAAAAAAGGCUUAAAAUAAAAGAAAAAGGUUUAAAAAAAUCGAACAAAGAUAAAUAGGUAUGUUAAAUGAGAAAAGACACAGGAGGACCACACAUUUCCAAAACACAAGCUGCACAUCUACAGCAGGAAGAGAAGAGCUCAGACAAGUGUGUCCCUAGAAAGGCAUGCUGCAUCAUCAGCGUGACUGAGGCCAGGAUGAAAAUACGGGUUCUCUUUGUGGAAAAAGCAGAAAAAAACAAACGAACAAGUAUGGUAUGAUUUGUUUACAGGAGUCAGAUUCAUAAACACAGAGUGUGGUUGCCAAGUAGCCAUGGCUGGGAGGGGGGCGUGGGGAGUGUGGGAGAGUCCUACGCUGCUUCAGUCUACUGUGACAGAUACACACACACACACACACACACACACACACACACACACACAGAGAGAAAAAAUUUACUUUAUCCAGGCUGGAGAAAUGGCUCAGAGGAAGAGGGAAUCCUGCUUUACAGAGAAUCUGAGUUGGAUUCCCAGCACUCACAUCAGAUGGCUAACAACUGCCUGUGUAAUUUCAGCUCCAAGGGAUCUGAUGUGGCUCUCUCCGAGGAUGCCUGCAUAUCUAGAGAGAGCGAGAGCAAGAGAGAGAGAGAGAGAGAGAGAGAGAGAGAGAGAGAGAGAGAGAGAGAACCUUUCUGGCUGUCCUAGAACUCUGUAGACCAUGACCAUACUAGCUUUGAACUUGGAGAUCUGCCUGGCUCUGCCUCCCAAGGGCUGGGGAUUAAAGGCAUGUGCCACUCUGACCCUCCCCUCUCAUUCUUCUUUCUCUGCACUACUCCCUGGUUCAGCAGCAUUCAGUGGAGCGCCCACCCCACCUCCACUGCCCCCUCACAGCUCAUUUGUGACCAGAGUUGGUUUGUCACUCUUUGGCCUGACCAAUUGGGUUUGGCCCUGGAGCAAACUGGGCUUCAUGUCCAUGGGUUGGGAUGGCCUCUCGUCUCAGGAGUCACUCCAGGUUAGACCAUACCUCCAUCAAAAUCAGUGUGGUAAAACUGGGCCUCAUCCCAGCAACAGGAGAGUUCCGUUCCUCUGUAAUGGAGCCUGGGUGGUGGGUGCUGCACCUUCAGUGGGGCCCUGACCUCUUACCCUUCUGACUUACUCCCAGGGCGUAUUCUGAAACAGUGGUCACAAUUUGAUUCCCAAAAAGAAAUGCAUUUUCUUUUGUAACACAAAUGUUUUCUUGCCUUCAACUAGAUCAGGAAAACCAGCUACUGAAUGACACAUUAAGUCACACUGUUCCUGUAAUCUAGAAAAGAAUGCCAAGAUUUCUUUCCUUAAGAAAAACAAAUAUGUGCUAGAGAGAUGGCUCAGUGUUUAAGAGAAUUGACUGUUUUUCCAGAGGUCCUGAGUUCAAAUUCCAGCAACUACAACCAUCUGUAAUGAGAUCUGAUGUCCACUUCUGGUGUGUCUGAAGACAGCUACAGUGCACUUAUAUAUAAUAAAUGAAUAAAUAUUUUAAAAAAUAAAAAUUACCACGUGAAUCUAGUGCCCGGGGAGGUCAGAAAAGUGCAUCAUAUCCAGUAGAUGGUUAACAGCCACUAUGUGGUGCUGGGAAUUGAACCCUGGUCCUCUGGAAGAGCAGUGUUCUUAACCACUGAACCAUCUUUCCAGCACCUCAGAUUCCUUAUAGCUAGACUUCAUACUCUUGUCACAGGACCCUCAACUGUGAGCAAGCUGUCAUGCACAUUUUUCUUACAUACACAGUCCCUUUUACACAGUCUUCCGUAAACUCAGCCCUGAAAAGCAUCCUGGAUGAUCCUUCCUCUGCACACUCAAGGCCCUGUUCAGUCUCUGGCUUCUCUGUUACUAGCCACCCCUCUGCUGCUACCUCCCCCUUCUACCUCUCCCUUCACCCUCUCCUUCCCUUGUGCCUGUGGGUUGCCCCCUCCAAACCCAGAUACACACACACUCUCCCAGAUGUGCCUAGGAGCUUCAUACAGGCACUCGGGGAACCAGUGACAGUGGCGCUUUUCUCCCUCAGAGAAUAUUCUUCCCCUUCUCAAGGUGGUGAGUGGGGACUUUGAUGUGGCUAACCUGUCCCCAAAACAAAAGUGUGCCAGUCUUCUGCCCAGCCUAAACUACUAGACACAUCAGACUCUAUUUCCCUUAGUCCUGGGGGGGGGGGGGGGGGGAAUAGCCUUCCCUAGUUCUUCAGGAAAACAAAGGCCUUUGUAUCCCAGACUGAAAUUACAAGGUUAACAUGAAAGGUUCUUGGCUGUCUUCUUUGCCUUUGUUCGUAAUAGCUCAUUAUCCAGGGCCACUGGGCGACUUCCCCACAUCUGGUAGGACUGUAACUCGGAGUAACUCUUAGGAGACAAACAAAAGGAUGUGUAGGAGAACCUCUAACAGAUCCAAGUAGAAUAAAGUAUGCCUGAGACCUACCACAGACCGAACUUUACAGCUUAAUAACAUUAACAGGCAAUUUCAGCUUAAUAACAUUAACAGGCAAUUUAAGUCUGGUACGUUCUGUCAUGAUUAUAAUUUAGUUUCAACUCUUUUAAAAAAAGUGGUAAAUUUGUUAUGUUGCUUUAUGAUAGGACUUAAGGAAAAAGGAACCAAUAAGAAAGAAAAAAUGUAAGCCUGGCUCGAUAGGUAUCCAUGCCUUUAAUUCCCAAGGAGGCAAAGCAAGGAAUCUCUGAGGUCAGUUUACAACCCAGCCAGGGCUCCAUAGUGAGACCCUUCUCAAAAGAAACAAAAAGUAGGAGAAAGGAAGGAGAGUGUGGGGCUGGGUGCUCAGUGGUUAAGAGAAUGCUCUUCUGCCCGUUCUUUCCGAGGCCCUGGUUCAGGUCCCAGCAGCAGUAUGGUGCUGCAAAACCCUCUGUAACUCUACCAAACCCAGCGUCUUCUGGCACCCGGGACACUGUUCUCAUCCACUGAGCCAUUUCUAGAGCCUCACACUCAGAGUUUGUUGACAGCAACUGAAAGAGAAUCCAACCAUUUUGAACCAUUUACCCUAGGCCUGGUCUCCAGGGAGGUUCCUAGGUAAGCGCUUAUAAGUUUUUUUUUUUUUUUUUUUUUGGUUCUUUUUUUUUUUCGGAGCUGGGGACCGAACCCAGGGCCUUGCGCUUCCUAGGUAAGCGCUCUAACCACUGAGCUAAAUCCCCAGCCCCUUCCAGGGAGGUUCCUUAAACCAUCCCUAGUCUGAGGCCUUUAAGGUCCACACGGUGGUGUCACAGGUUUACAUUUCCUUUGGCAUCUGUGCCUGCCUCCCACCACGCAGGACCUGCUGACGACCCUACAACCGACAUUCCCUCACUCCUGACCCCACGGCCCUAUCCCUGAUCCCUCCCUCCCUGAACAGUCCCACUCAGUGCUGACCUAGCUCUACAAGACGGCCUUUGUCCUCGGCAGUGAUGUGACCUUGCUAAUCUGUGUGGGGAGUGUGGGUGCCCCUCCGUGGUGACCGAAGUAAGUGCUGAACUAAUCUCAGAGACUGUUUGGCCUCUGCUCCUGAGUAAGGCCUUUGUUGCCUCCAACCAGGAUCAAAAGGAGUUACUCUUUAACAAGGCCUGGCUGCAGCCUGUCCUAGGGCACCCGAAGAAGCCACUGUAGAAGAAGCCAGUCUUUAAUGAGCAGGCUCACAGACGGGAGUUUGACCCGUCAUGACCUUGGCUGCAAUACACCUGUCCCACAGAAGAGACAAUUCAUACUGUAAAAUCUCAUUUAUCAGCAAAAUAAUGAGAUACUGCCCAGUCAUCCAUGUCUCAAGGGACAACUCCCAUGACAUGGAAACACUGACUUACCACAUUAGCUAAAGGAAAAAAACCCAGAUGUUUCUAAGAACUUCAAGAGUGGGGUAGAGAAAUGGCUCAGUGGUUAGUAUGUUCUAGAAGACCUGAGUUCAGGUCCUAAUACUCACCAGGAAACCCACAAUUCUAGCUGCAGGGGAUCCAGUCUCUCUUAGGGCAAACAUACUCACGUGCACAAACUCACACUGAGGCACACACAUACACAUAACUUUUUAUUUCUCGAGCCAGUGUUUCUCUGGCUGUCCUGGACUUGCUUUGUAGACCCCCGCCCUCUGAGCCGUGAGGCUUGUGGAAAUCACGUAGAGCACAAACAAUAGGCAACUGUUCCUUCCCUCUUUGCAAAUUAACUAGUUAGGGGAUGGAGAAUGGCUCGGCAAGAACACUGACUGCCCUUUGGGAGAACCUGGGUUCAAUUCCCAGCACCCGUGUGGUGGCUCACAGUCAUGUCUGUAACUCCCGUUAAAGAAAAAGCAUGACAGCUAGCUUCUGGCCUCUGUGGGCACCAGACACACAUACAGUACAGACAAAACACCCAUUAAAAAAAAAUCACAAAAUUGUGUGCAUGUGUGUAUGCUUGUGUCUGUGUGCAUUUGGGUGAUUGAGGUGGGGUCAUCCAGUUUCCCGGUGAGCACUUUUACCCUCGGGGCUGUUGACUUCCUGGAUUUGCAGGUUUUGUUGGAGGCCUGGGCCCUGCCUGGAUCUUAUCACACAGGCCUCAGGCUGCCACAGUUGGCUGACUUGCACUCUUGGUUCAUCAUGCACCUUUGGAGGAUUCAUUUUUGGGAGAACUCCUUUCUGCUGCUUCUGUUGAGACACACAGCGGCUGGAGCCCACCUGGAAGGAGCAUGCUACCUUGCUAGUAGACACUAGAUGGAUUGGGGACAAAGGACAGCAACCUAUGUCCCAUUUUCUCUGGGUGUAAGUAGGAGGUCCUUUUAACUUUAUUAAGCUCUGGAUAACAGGACCUAUCAGAACUGUUCAGCUCAGCACUGUUCAGUCAAUGCGGGUGGCAAGGGGCCUGCGAUGGAGUACCCUGGAAUCUGACUACAGCUGGAUAUAAAGGCUCAGAGCAGCCCCAAGUUUGGGUUUCUGUGCCAGAAGGCAGAAGUUCAUGUGUGAUCCACACGCUUCUGCCUCUCACGUGCUGAAAUUAAUGGCCUGAGCCACCACUGCCCAGAUAAAAUAAAUCUUUUUAAAAAGCCUUUCGACUCUUGCCAUUAGCAAAGAGAAACUAUCAAACAAGUCACCGUGAUAACCUCUACUCCAGAUACUGAGUUAUAAUAGUAUAAAACCCAUACUAUCCUGGCAUAACACCUUGGCUGUCCAAUCUUGACCUGCCUUGUAUUGUAAAACUGCCAAGCCUGGGUAAGUUGGAGACAAUAGAUCUUAAAUUUUCACAAGACCGUUGGAUACACAGCAAUCUAUAGAGCAGUGCUUGUUUUGUGCCUGUAGGACAUACUCUUGGCCUGUGUGUUAUGUUGUUACAUCGUGGACCCCUGUGCAGCAUUCCCCAACACCAGAUCAAGUUAAUGAAACAAACAAAAAGUAUUGUUUUAAAAACUGCUGUAUUCAAAGUCAAUAAUAAACUUUAAGGUAAAUAAGCUUUAAAACAAAAGCUUAGGAGCAAAAAUAAAUAAUUUACAUAACUCACUAACCCAGUUUUUUUUUGGAGUAAAUCCAUUCUCAGCCAUAGAACUAUAAGCCUAGGCCAGACCCGUGGGAAACUCUCAUAGUUGAUUAUCAUAAAAAACAGUAGCAAAAAAUCAGAAGGCUGAAUAGAAUCUUUAACAACCCAAACAACAGAUAUACUUUGUUUUUGAGAAAGUAUUUACUCUGUAGCUCAGAUUAGCCUGAAAUUCACAACAUAGUCCAGGCCAGUCUCAAAUUUAUGUAUGCCUCCUGCCUCAGGUCUUUAAUGCUGGGAUUACAGGCACAAGCUACCAUUCCCAGCUUCAAACACUGGAUUUGAUGUUUAAUUUAAAAUAAGCAAACUUUGUAAUUUUAUACAUAAUCCAAUGUAAUGCUAAAAUAAUCAGCAUUUUAGCUUGAAGAAAUGUUAUAUUACAGGGAUGGGAGACUAUAAAUGAAGUCUUCAAACUUUGAAAUACAAAUAAAAAUGGGUGUGUAGUAGGACAAAAAAAUCCAGACAUUAACUGGAGGGACAGCUGAAGGCUUGCAUCCUUUAUUUUCUGUGAUGGCUUUGGAGUUAUGAUUGUUUCACAUGUAGAACCUUCAGCACAUUAGAUACAGCCUUUUUCUUUUUCACAGUAAGUUAAAAGCUCAUCUUGACUGUGUUAGGACCUCGCUGGUCUUACGGGUGGCCUCACAAGUCUGCCGUGUGACCAAGAGAAACAUGAAGAACUGCCACAGGGCUCUCACUUCAUUCUUCCUUGUACACAAUGAAUCACCGUGGGAAUUUAUUCCAGGGACUAUGUACACAAAAGUGUCAAGAAGAAAACGUUCUCUACUCUCGCAUAAAAAUGUGUCCAGUGCUUCAGGAAUGGGACUUCUGCUCUGCCGGGCCGGGCUUCAGGAAUUCUGCCGCAGAGAUGAAAGGCUCUUCCUCCUGCUUUAUUGCUCUGUGGUUCUGAGUAUUAAUCAUCCAACCCUGGCGUCUCUCCUUGCUGGAUCCUAGAUGCUAUUCUAAUAGCUUCUUCCAGAGAUGGCUGCUCUCCAAGCUGAAACCAGAACACACACAUCAAACAUGAAUAAUCCAAAGCCCUAACCUGGAUAAUGCCAGACAGUUGUUAGAUGGCAGACUUGCAAGUUCACAUGUGAAGUCACAGCCAAUGGAGUGGCUCCUCAGCAGCUCACUUCUAUACCCAUGUACUAAGGAGAACUAACCAAUGGCUACAAUUUUCUUGUCCAUCCAGUAAACAUAAGGAGACACCACCUCCCCUCUACAGAGGGUAUUUGCAUCUGGCAUGUGGGAUUUUAUGUUCUCUACUGUGAACUAGGAGGGCCUUCCCCAGCAAAUGCUCUUUCUAUGUUUUCUAACACGUUUCAGUUUUUUGUUUUGUUUUGUUUUGUUUGUUUUUUUGUUUUUUUUUUCCUUCUUUUUUUCGGAGCUGGGGACUGAACCCAGGGCCUUGCACUUGCUAGGCAAGUGCUCUGCCACUGAGCUAAAUCCCCAACCCCACGUCUCAGUUUUAUACAGAAGGUUCUCCUCCAAGGAGUAGCUCCCUCGUGCUUUAUAGAAACCUGUCUCCUUAGAUUCCAUCGUGAUGGUGAAAAUGGCUGUCUGGGUACAUAAAAAGGUACAUGUCUAACAAUUUUUUCUUUUGGUGUAAGUUCUCCAAGAAUAUGCCAAGCAAGGGUGGAAAAGAACCAUGUCAGUUUAUGUUUUGAGUAAGGUCUCACGUAGCUUAGGCAAAUGACCUCAACUUCUGUUCUCCCUGCCUUCACUUCUUGAUGUUCAGAUUACAGGUCUGUCCACCAGGCCUGGCUUCUGUGGUGCUGGGGACAGAGCUCAGGACCUUCUAAACAAGCACUCUACUGAGCUACACGCCUAGUCCAGGGUGGUGGUUUGUUUUGCUUGUCUGAGGAAGGUUCUCUCUAUAUAGCCUGGCUGUCCUGAACUCACUGAGAUUGCCCUCACCCUGCCUCUGCAUCCUAAGUGCUGGGGUUAAAGGUGCAUGCCACCACUGCCCAGCUUCUGGGCUUUUUUGUUUCCUUAAUUAAAUGUUUUCUUUAUUUACAUUUCAAAUGUUAUCCCCUUCCCCGUUUUCCCCUCCGGAAACCCCCUGUCCCAUCCCUCCUCCAGCUUCUGGUCUUUUUGAGAUCACCUCCAUCACAGUGACUGUCUUACAUGUACUAUAUUAAUUUAGGCACCUGGAUGGUUCUGCACAUGGUAUAAACACAGAACAGCUACGUAAGACCCAGAGUUGCCAGCACUGCUGCUGUUCACCUAAUCUGUACUCACCUGAACUGCAAUCUGGGUGCCAUUGGAUGUUGCCACUAAGGUCAGAGGUCUGGUUUCUGUAGUUACUAAAUGAUGGCUAUGUGGCUGGUGUCCCAUUUCUGAAGAGGCCGCAUGGAAUGCUGCCAGGUCUUGAGCUACAAUUGCAACCUUAAGUAGCAAAAUGAACAAAACACAUGAAUAAUUAUAUCCAUAAUUCAAAGAGGUUAAAGUCCAUCUUGUGUUGGGUACAGAGAUGUAUAGGCCUUACUUACUGUUGGGAAAGGGCGCAUGCACUAUCUAGGCUAUACUCUCAUUUGAGGAAGUCAAGGCUCAGAGAGACGGAACUUAACUACUAUCAUGAAGCGAGCCAGUGGCAAAACAGUUACAAGACACUGGGAAAUGGAUCUGUCAUGCCUAACUCUCAGGAGAAGAGGCCCUUGAGGUUCUGUUACCCUAAGUAGAUGCUGAGAAAGUUACAAAUGUCAACUAAUGCACACCACACAUGCUUGCUUACUCCUGAGUAUGGGUCAAUUAGACAAUUAGACUCCCAUCUAACUGAGAGCCUGGAAGGACAGGUGGCAUUACUGAUCAACGGCACUGUCUCCUUAGACACAGUCCCCACCUGAGACUCAUGGAUCUCGGUAGUGUAUCCUGAAGCCUGUAACUAGAUAGGUUAACCCAGCCGCAGUUACAGCUUAAAAUUCUAUUAUUUUUAUUUUACGUGUGGGUGUUUUGCCUGCAUGUGUGUCUGUGCACUCCUUGUGCACCAGGUGGGGAAGAAGGCCAGAAGAGGGCAUCAGAGUCCCUGGAACUGGAGUCACAGAUGGUUAUUAGUUGCCAUGUGGGUGCUGGGUCUUGAGGCAGGUCCCCUGGACUAACAGCCAGUGUUUUUAACCACUGAGCUAUCUCUCCAGCCCUUUUUUGGUGGUGGUUUUGAUUAUUUGCUUUUUUUGUUUGUUUGUUCUUUUAAGUAUAGAAUAGUUUAUUUGGGGUAUAGGGAGGGGAGUUAAGAGGGUAGUAAGGGGCAGAGAAUCCCUGGCUGGCCUAGAAAUUGGUGUGUACACCAGGCUGGUCUCAAACUCAAGAGAUCUGCUUGCCUCUGCCUCCCAAAGUGCUAGGACUAAAGGCCUGCACCUGCAUGUCUAGCUGUACGUGUGUGUGUUAAAUUUACUUCUAAUGUGUUUGUGUUUGUGGAAGUACAUGCUAUGUAUGUGUGAAGGCCAGCUAGGUCACAGGCAGUUGUAAGUUGCUUAUUGUGGGUGGUGAGAACUUGGUUCCUCUGGAAGAGCAGCAGCACCCACUCUUAACCACUGAGUUGCUUCUCCAAUUACUCAUUUCAUCCUCCUGUGAACGUUAUGGUGCUGAUGUAACUCUAACUCUUAUUUACAGAUGGAGAAAAAAAUAACACCACAGACUAAUUGGCUAAAGAAGUUAUAAAACUGGAAGUCAGCCUGAAGUUCACCUUCCCAAAUAAGAAUGUACUGCCCAGCUUCUGAGCAAGUUUUGACAUUGCUGAAUGUGUUGACCAACAGUGAACAAAAACAAUUACCUGCUGUCCUUCUGUGCCCUCAGCAGUGACCAUAGCAACAGAAUGUGUUCCUGCUGAGGAGAUGACUGCAUCGUGAGUGGGGACUGUGAUGGGUGUGCCAUCCUGUGUUACCAUGGUGAUGGUGUUGCCAAUGGCCUGCAUGUCGGCUUGAGAUAUGUUGACCUGCAAAUAUGGUGCAUUUUACAAACCAGUCAAUACUUCAUUACAUUUGGCAAUCUUAACUAAGGACAGAGCCUAAUCCUCACAUAAGCUUCCUCUGUAGGAGCAAAUAAACUUUGUAAUGGAAUAUAAUCUUUCAUUCACCAGACAAGUCUAUGUCUAGUUGGUUUUUGUAUGUGUUUUAGACAGGGUCUUUCUGUUUCCUAGACUGGCCUGUAACAGUAAUCCUCUUGCCUCAGUCUCCUGCUUACUGGGGAUACAACUGCCAGCCACUACUCCCACAUUUCUGCUGUAAUCUCGUAUCUUCAGGGGUCUUGGGCCUAACUCUUCCUUCUCCAGCCAUCUCUACCUUGACACCUUGCACUCUCACCUUGCUUAAAUCUGUUCCCUUUUUUCCAGAUUUCCUGUGUGUACUUCACCUUUCAACUUUUUUUUACAGACUUUUAAAAUGUAUCUUCCAUCAUUCUAUCACCUCAACUCUGCAUCUGACAUGCCAACCACUACUGCCUUGAAAUACCAAAAGCCCUGUUUCAAAGAACCGAGGCAGGGGUGUGUGUGUGAGAGAAUUCCAGGCCAGCCUGAGGUACAUGAAACUCUGUUUUAAAAGGAAAAAUUAUGAAAAGAAAGAAAGGUGGAGUGUGUUAGCACACACCUGUAACCUCAGACCUUGGGAAGUGAGGCAGGAGGAUUUCCCUAAGUUCAAGUCCUGGUUUACACAUUAGUUUAGGUCAGGGUGGCUACCUUGUGUCAAAAGUCACCAAACCAAACCAAAUCAAACACACACACACACACACACACACACACACACACACACA